rnacentral:rRNA from 1 species
GCAGACGACGGACUUGGAAACAGGUCUUCCAGCAAUGGCGUCUGUGUAGGUGCUGCAUGGUUGUCGUCAGCUCGUGCCGUGAGGUGUCGGCUUAAGUGCCAUAACGAGCGCAACCCCUAUCAUUAGUUACUAACAGGUCGAGCUGAGGACUCUAGUGAGACUGCCGCCGUAAGGUGUGAGGAAGGUGGGGGAUGACGUCAAAUCAGCACGGCCCUUACGUCCGGGGCGACACACGUGUUACAAUGGGGGGUACAGAGGGUUGCUACCUGGUGACAGGAUGCUAAUCUCAUAAAUCCUCUCUCAGUUCGGAUCGAAGUCUGCAACUCGACUUCGUGAAGCUGGAUUCGCUAGUAAUCGCGCAUCAGCCAUGGCGCGGUGAAUACGUUCCCGGGCCUU